rnacentral:lncRNA from 1 species
UUGGUAACCCAGGAGACUCCGAGAUUGCUAGCAUCACUCCAGGCAGCGCAGUAUUUUCUCUCGGCUACCGACCGGCGAUAGAGGUUGUUUCUGCCAGCGCCUUGCCUGCGUGCUGCAUUUGCCGCAAGGGGGCCCAUUCUGCGCGUGACGUCCGGGGUGAGCGCCGUCCGCUGGGGGCAGAGCUGCGGCCCGCGGGGCCCGCGCUUCCGUGGCGGGAAGCUCUCACCUUGGCCUGCACUUGGCACUGAUGGUCUAGAGCUCCUCUGGUUGAUACGUCUUUACUAUUUUCACAGUUGUCAGAAUGUUUUUGAAAUUAUUAUUAUUAUUUUGGACUGCAUAUGGCUACAGCUUAAUGUUUGUAGCAGAGCAGGGAAUCUCUGGAAAACUUAUAAAAAGUUCCAAGCCCCUGUAGUUGGGGCUGGCAAUUAACACAUGAAUUUUGAUGUCAGAAAUAAGUGGUGUGUUUAGGAUGCCUGUUGUUGCCACAGGAGGAGAUGAUGCUCUACUUGGAAUUUGCAUGUGUUAGUUUAACGAUGAAUUAUGGACAUCGUGAAGAAUGCAUUCCUGCCAGCAGGUUGUCUUCUAGUGCUUAUGUUUUCAGUCUGCAGAUCAGCUCUCGUAGUUGUGUGACUUGAGGUUUUUGUUGUUGCUCUAAAUGAAGAGUUUAACAUGAAUUCAGCAGGGUGAAUUUUUUAGAUUAGAAAAGGACCGUUAUGAUAAUCUAGUCUCACCUAUUGCCAUACCUAGGCCAGAAGACUUCGCCAAGCAAUUCUUGCAUGAAGCCCGUUGCUGCUGACUGAAACAGAGAGCUGCUAUUCAGAAUGAGAUCCAUGACCCUAAUUUGCAGAGCGUGUCAGGGAGAGAGUCCAGUGUGUCCUUGGUGUCGGAUACUGCUGUAGAUCUAACAAGGGGCCCGGAUGGCUGGAAGAUGGUGGUCUCCAGGGAUGCUGUACCAUGGAUGCUAGAAACUUGGCAGCAAAGGUCUCUCCAUUCCCAGGAAUGGCUGGGUCAGUCGGGUCUGCCAUGGCCGUCCGUACGGUUGGUGGCAGGGCUUCUGUGCAGCAAUGUCAGCGUGUGACCUGCCAGAGCUUAUGCGGAAUUGCAUUAAUUCUUGCCAAAAUCUGCCUGCUUGUACUGUUUUUGUUUGUACAGAAACUUAAACUAGGGCUUGGCUAAAGAUUUUGAACCACAAGCUGGACUGCGACUGCAGGAUGCAGUUGUUGGGUAGCAGUGAUCACUGCAAGCACACUAAGAUGAGUUCAAGAUCCGCACCGAUAGGGUUUGUGCUUCAUAAAGGAGCUGUUUAUAAGUGCGAAGGUAAGUGUGCGCAAAAAACCAAUGCGAUAGA